rnacentral:misc_RNA from 1 species
AUUAUUUUGAUCACGUGAUCUUUGUUUACCACAACUUUAGAAGUGAGAAGAUUUUGAUAAGUUUUUUGGAUUUUUUGAUGUAUUGUCGUCGUUUUAUAUGGAGCAUUUUGAUUGACACGGCAUUCUUUUUCCUUUGAGACUUUAGCAGCUCAAACAAUGUAACCAUGCGCCGGCAGCGUCGACGUGCGGUGAUCAUGUUAGCCGGACUAAUGAACGCUUUUCUUGGAACGAAUAUCGGUUAUUCCGCAGGAAUAAUACACCUUGGUCUACUGGAGAAACACAAGAAGUCUCCUAAUGUGGUUUUCUGGGCAGGUGCUCUAUUUUCAAGCCUUCUUUGUCUAGCUGGUCCUAUCUCCAGUGUCGCUGUGAAUGCCUUGUCAUGUCGGUCGACCAUUUUCCUUGGAUCUUUCCUGAGCUUUGUGGGAUUUAUGGUUUCCAGUUUUGUGUCAAGUAUUGAGAUUGUGGUCUUCUGUUAUGGAAUUGUUGCAGGACUAGGUCAAUCCAUGAUAUAUUCGGGAACAGUUUUGGCCACGGGGUUUCAUUUCCAUGACAACCCAUCGGUUGCCACGGGCGUGGUGGUAGCGGGAGCAGGAAUGGGAGUGGCGGUGUUUCCCAUGUUUACAGAGUUUCUCAUUGAGACCUAUGGAAUUGAUGGAACAUUUCUCCUCCUAUCAGCUGUCAGCUUGCAGGUUGUUGUGUUCAACAUGUGUAUAGAAACCCAUGAACUAGAAAACAAUAGAAAAGAAACCUCCAUGACGUUUAAGAUGAAAGUUGAAUUGAUUUUUCAAGAACUUCGAAAAAUAUUUUCAAUGGGUGCUUAUUUACAAUUUUGUAUUAGCAUUUUCUGUUGGAGUACCAGUGUAAAUACUUCUGUAUUACUUUUACCGCAAUAUUAUGUGAGCACAGGUUCAUCACACACAGAAGCUGCCAUCCUUAUGUCUCUUUACGGCAUUACGGGUUGUUUUUCCCGAAUUCUGACAGGAUUAGCUGCUUCUGACCCACGCGUAGAUGGAAAACUAUUGUAUAUGGGGUCAUACAUCAUUUUAGGGUUGAGUACUUUCUUUCUCCCAUUGAUAGGCAAUUACUUUCCUGGAAAAGUAUUCUACUCUUUGAUGCUAGGAAUAUAUUCUAGCAACGUUUGGUCGCUUCUCACACCUAUUACAAUUGAAAUUGUUGGUAUUCAACAAAUGCCUACAGCUUUUGGAAUGGAAUUGUUAAUUGGAGGCAUCGGGUUUUUAAUUGGUCCAAUCAUUGGAGGGAAAAUUCAAAGAGAGACUGAAGAUUUUACUAUCAUUUUUAUCAUAUCAGGAUUCCUAUAUGUUUUAGCGGGAAUUUUUGAAAUGUUAAUGAUAUUGACGAUGACAAAAUCCGAAUCAUUUCAAAACAGAAACAACAUGGAGAAAACUGUUGAGGUGGAGGAAAAAUUAAUUAGCAACAACGUGAUAGAGGUCAAACAAUUACACGACUAAUCAUACAAUCUGAGUGAUGAUGCUAGUAACUGAAUGAAAACCAACAGAAGUUGACGGUACAUGUUCUAGUUGCAUCGGACUGAUACAGUUGUGUAACGUGAUACGGUUUUGUAAUCUGAGUCUAGGUAUACUUCUGAACAACUUUCCACAUUUGGUUUAAAGAACAAGUGCACUUAAGCUAUAGAGAAUGGGCCCUUUUUCAGUGCCGUUUUUGAAGUAGGAAAUAUCAACAAAUUGCUUUUUUCUCGUAAUAGAUAAACACUCAUGGAUACUUCUGAUUUAUAUGCACACUUAAAUUCACCAAAAUUAGCAUACAGUUUAAAAAAUUGUUGAUGAUUUUUAAAUGCCUAUAAAUAAUCUAAAUCCGAAAAAUCGAACCGAACCUACUUCAAUUGUGUCUAUAUAAAUCAGAGGGAGGAGACAUUUAAAUCAACGUUGUUCUGUUGGUGGAUCGACUGGCGCGUUCGCUGAAUUAUACUUUAUGCAUUAUUUUACGUCUGAAAAAAAAAUCGAAUAAAGCUUUGAAGUUGC